rnacentral:lncRNA from 1 species
UAGGUUCCAGAACUGCAGUCCUGAAGAGAAAGCAAGGAACGUGUUGACUCAUGAAGUUAUCGUCAAAAAGAGGAUUGAAGAACUGAAGAAACAACUACAAAAACAAAUUGAAGAAAAUCGGCGUAUUGAACUGACAAAUCUUAUGUAUAAGUUCAUGAAGGAGGGACCUGAUGCCUUACGGGGUAUUAGUUAUCAAGACUCAAUUGACUUUGAGGCUUUUCUGGAUGAAAGGAGGCUGUUAAUUCAAAAAAAGAUGGAGAUUCUAAAGAAUAGCAAUUAGUUUAUUGUUCGCAGUUUUGGCUUUCUUUGUAAUGGUUUUUGUCAAAUAAUGUCAAAAACCCACAUUAGACAUAGUGAGGGAGAGAUUUUUCCAAUUUCUACUCCAAAUUUCGAUCUGGUUGAUUUAUUAAUAGUUAUUCGGGUUUAUUUUAAAUUACUGUACCUUAUAAAUUUUUAUAAGAUUUUGGGAAAAUCAAGGUGAAAAAAGAUAAGAUCACAAAAAAAUGAUACAUGCCAAUUGAACAAUGCAAAAGACAAUAUGAACAACACACCCUUUGUAUUUCUGCAAUACGAAAUCUUAAAGACAAUAUGUGAAAAUUAAUUACUAGCAAAGACAAUAACCUGUAACCUAAGUAUUAGUGGGUUCAUAACAAAACUUGAAACACAUGAUAUGUCAUAACUCAUAUACUAUGGUGAUUCAUAUUCUCAAAUGGGUGUCCAAUUUAUCAGAUUUGACCCAUCAUCCAAUCUGGUUUGAUCCAACCAAUCCACAUUUAAAUCGGCAUACCGGACUAUAGUAUCAGAUUUACAUCAAUAUGACUCAAUAGUUUCCGAUCAACCACACUACAAUCUCAAAAUGGCCUGAUCCGACACAUUAUUACCACUUUAGAAAUAAUAAUGAGAAUCAAACUCAAGCAUGGGAAAACCGGAAACAUUAACAAACUUUGGAAAAGUAAGAAAUGUACUACUUAGCUUCUAGCGUUCUGCCAAAAAAAAAAAACUAAAUUUUUUUUUGUCAAACAAAUGUAGUUACCAUUAAACUUUAAUUUUUUUAGUUGAGAAAGAACAACAAUUGUAUAUGAUCCUCGUGUUAAAAGAUGAUAGAUCUAGACAAAAAGAUAGAAAAAAAUAUUAAAUGGUUCACUCAAUGAACUAACAAUAUUUGCUUUCUAGCGUAGAUUUCGUCUGCAUAGAAAGCAAAUUCAUUUUCAGAAUUAACCAACCUAUUGUUAAAUAGAAUCACUAGUCCAGGAAGCACCGAUCCUAGGCUAGAAUGUCAGUGUUUGUCGGACACGCCUGGACGCAGCUCCAACACGUUUCGGAUACUGCAAAAUUUAGUCUCUUAUUUUAUUAUUUCAGACUGUCAAGGACAAUUCUAGGACACGUAAAAGGGUGUUUUUGUCUAUUUUGUAAUAAAAGUUGAUCAUAACAAUAUUAACAAAUUUUCAAGGAGGUCAAAGUAACAAACUAACAACUUAAAACAAAGAACCGACGCUAUGUGAAUUCACACUCUAGAUAUUUGUAUGUGUUUUAAGUUAUAAGUUUUUUACUUUCAUCUCCUUGAAAAUUUGCUAGUAUUAUGAUUUACAAUUUUUAAUUAAAAUCGACAAAAAAACCCUUAUGUUAUGUGUGUCCCAAAGGUGUCCUUGGCGUGUCCCCAACAUGUCCACGCCCGUGUCCGAAGUGUUUAUAUAUAUAUGCUUUUGCCUUGUCCGACACGUGUCGGGGUCGUGUCCGUGUCCUAGACGGAUCCGACACUGACACUCCAGCCUAGAAGGAGUGACGGGCAUCAGGGCAUGUGAGAGACCAGCAUUGCUUAAGCUCAAUAUUAAAAGAAACAACCAUGUCAUUCCUGAACAUGUGUAGCGAUAAGGUGCCUCAGUUGGAAGAUUCAAGGUGGAUUGCUCGGAGAAAAAACAUUGUUGAAGUUCAUUCCAAACUUCUGGAGCAGUUAUAGCGUAAGAUACACUAUCUGCGAUUUCCUUGCUUACAGAAUUGGUAAUAUAAAUCCAUGAUUCAGCAACGGUUCCAUAAAGAUAUAGAGGAUGAAGAGUGCUAGGGUUUUCGAAUGCUGCCAUCCAACCACACUUGUCUUUAGCAACUAACUCCGUACACAUAGCAAGAGACCAUGUAGCGUAGUUAUCUCUGUUUGGGGGGUGAAGACAAAAUGGGACAUUGGGUUGAGACCAUGAGUGAUUAUAGGUUUGUUUGUGAAACAUUUAUGGAAACUGAAAGGCUUUCAGAGUUUCAGAUGCAGACAUAUCAAUUAACAAGCGGGGAAAAAGAAUUGGUUAAGUGAUAUGUUACAAUCAGAGAGCGGACAAUAAAAAGAAAGAAUAUUUGGCUUUAGUACCAUGUAAGGAAUAAAAGAAGAGUUUAUUUUUGUGUUAUUAACUUACAUUUGUGUUGUGCUAUUCUCUAUAUAUAGACAAGAAAUAUAAAACUUAAAGUAUAUACUUAAAGUGACUAAAACCUAAAUACCCCAAAUAUAAAACAGUAAAUACACAAGCAGUUCAAGCUUUAGAGAGCAUUAAAUACAUGGGAGCGGAAGUCAUGGUAGCUACUAUCAAGGUCCACAUUGUUUGCUUGUAAAGGUGGCUGUAGAGGUGGCCAUGGAGGUUAGAUGUGGCUACAAUGUUGACUACAAGUCUCCUGAGUUAAAGUUGUCUAACAUAAGUUCAUAACAUAAACCUAUGUAGGGAAUAUGGAUGUAGUAAAUAUUAAACAUCUUCACUUUGAACUAAUUGAGGGCCAUCAAAUUUAAAGGAUCAUAAGAAGAGUACCCUACCACAUAUAUCAUUCUAUAAGCCGGGGAAAGGAUCGCCCAUUUCAACCAGGGAACAAUUAGCCCUCCCCCCCCCCCCCCCCCUCUCUCUCUCUCCCUCUCCUUUCUCUCUACCCUUAACUCGAUGCUACAAUUACUGCAGUUUUUAAGGAAAAAAGGACCCUUCCGUGGCUAAAAACUCUUUUGAACAUCUACCUCCAUUCUCCACCACAUCUAGGCCUUUCAUCCUCUCCAUCUUAUUCAUCAAUCAUUCCCACCCAAGGGUGCUUCUAUUAUCUGCUGCCAUCAGUAGAUAAAGAAGUAAAGAGCUUCCCAAAUUAACUUGCUAAAGAGCUGAACUGAACCCACCAUGUCUACCAACCAGUAUACCAAUAAAUCGAGGGUCAAAUAAUUAAAAAUGACAACAACGUUUGCAACCAUUUUCACUUUUAACAAUGUAUUGCAAAUCAUAACAACCAAGUGAAUUUUCAUUACACUCGAUAACAACUAUGUUUUCUUCUGGUACCGGAAGCCGGUGACCGGUCCACGUGGUAAUUGUAUAAGUUGAUAUGUCAAUAAAAAAUUUAAAAAAAAAUACAUGUAAUCAAAUAAAAAACAUUAUAUCAAGGAAAAUAAUAAAACAUUAUAUAUUGCUAUGCCCCAAAUUAAAUCAUACCAUUUUAUUAUCAAAUUAGGGUUUUUGUGACUAAAGUAUGUAAAUUUUUUAUAUAAAUUUGGGGAUUUUUAACUAUAGUAUUAUAUUAAUGAAAUUGAUUCUCUCAAGUACAAUAAUAAAUCAUUAUACAAUUUUAUGACCUAAAUCAUACUAUUGAUAUGUGUUUUUUUUUUUUUUUAUUGAUAGGUCAAUUCUACAAUUGCCACGUGGACAGGUCAUCGGCUUCAGCUACUGGAGCAAAACAUGGUUGUUAUCGGAUGUAAUGAAAAUUCACUUGGUUGUCAUGAUUUGCAAUACAUUGUUAAAAGUGAAAAUUGUUGCAAACACUAGAAGUAUAAAAGAUGAAUUAUACUAGAAGUAGAAUAUUAGAGUGGAAAGCUAUAUGUCUCAAUGUGAGACAUAACUUGUAUAUAUAAUGAAAGAAGUGUGUUAGACAAGUCACUACUACUAGUAGUGUGUUAGACAAGUCACUACUAGUAAUGUGUUAGACAAGUCACUACUAGUAGUGUGUUAGACAAGUCACUACUAUUACAAUAACUUCCAACACAAACGUUGUUGUUAUUUUCAGUUAUUUGACCCUCGAGCAAACCAAACAGUCCUUCAAACUGUGAGAGGUUGUUGAGAUCACCACAAAAAAAAUCUCAAAAUCUUUGUAAUGUGUAAAGCAGUUAAGCGGAACACAGACCUAACCGUGCUUGUGUUAAAUACCCUUGCAAGUAGAGCGAAAUAUCCUAUAUCUGAUUUGUAUCACUACAUCACAUGUCACCUGUUUAAUGGUAUUUUGUAUCUUCUUGGUUCAAACUUUACUAAUACUCCCAUGGCCUCUAUCCACAGGAGCAAAAUUGAAACUCUGAACAACUUACAUAACACUAGAUGCAUUCAUUGUUACAUGCACUGAACAACUUUUGAAUUUAAAUAAGUUAAAUCUAAUAUUCCCACACAAUAUUUAACAGCAUAAUUCAUUGCAGAAAAAGUAGUUUAGAAGAUACCUGUGGAAGCAAAGUACGAAAAGAUAUUGUAUAGAAGUUUCGUUUUGUUCACAUUCAGAAAAUCAAGGGUUGCUUCUGCAACAACUGAUCUGCAAACUCUGCAUUCUGCAAUUACCAUAAGAAAUUAGAUUAGUAUUCACUAUUUCAUUACUCUUGAAUCAAGAUCAAUAACAUGAAAAUAAAAACUCUAUUAAAAAAUAAAAAAAAUAAAAUUGGUGUCAGAUAAGUGAAUGGAAAGCCAAAUGGGGGCAUAUAAGCUAUCUAAGGUGGAGAACCCUAACAGAUUUUAUUUCAACAAAGCAACUAUAAUGCCAAUUUCCCAAACCAUGCAAAUGAUUGUAAUGUGUGAUUGAACCCCUUAUUUAUAACUGAUGGACUUCUUGGAAACCAAGCAUCCAAGCUUAAGAAUUUACAAUUGUAGAACUAUAAAAUAAAAUUGCAUAACAAACACGCUAGGGCGUAGGUGAUAUGCAUCUCACAUCAUUCCCCAUCUUGAGAAAGCUCGACUAUAUGUAACAAUAAACAUUCCCCAAACCUCAUUUGUAAACUUGGCAGAUGCAGGACGAUCUUCACAUGCGGGUUGAGGCAAGGACGGAGCUACAUGGGAGGAUAGUGGGGCACGUGCCCCACUCAGUUUCUGUAAAUUUUUUUACUACUAGGUAUACCCAUGAAUUUUUCUUAUCAUUCUCUGCCCAUUUAACCAUAAGUGCCCCAUUAAUAUAUUUAGAACUUUGACUAUUUUACUUAUGUGGUCAUUUUUCUUGUACCAAUCUAUAACCAAAACCCCAACAAAUGGUAUGGAACAUAGCUUUCCACAUCAUUUGGCCUGCCGUAAAGUGAAUCCUAUACUUCCAGUGAGUAAUCUAUUGAGCAAUAUUUUCAUCAAGGUUGCAUCUAAAUUCCACCAUGAGGUAAUUACUGAACAAUCUCCUCUUGUGGCAAAACAAACCCCUACAUACUCAUCAAGAACUCAGAUAGAUUCCCCAAAAUAGCUCCCACAUAAAGAAACAUCCAUCAGAAGUUAUUCUACAGAAGGAUAUAUCUUUUUAAUCAAUUGUUAAUCCCUAAAUCAAUAUUCCACACCCUCAUUAUAAAAUCCAUGAGACUAAUGCUAAAGAUAAUAUAGUCCAAAAAGCAAAGAAAAAUGGAUUGAUAGACACUAUUUACUGUCCUAAUCCAUUCUGUUUAGCAAGGCCAAAUUCAUAUUGGUCCAGCUACAAUAUCAAAAGAACUCCACCUAUACAAUGGGUCCCAGUUAUUUUCCACUUUUGCGUACGUGUCAUACAUCUUUAUUCCACACCUAUACAUCUUUAUUCCUAAAUUUUAAAUAAAGGGUCUGUCGCAUUGUCUAUUACAAUAUGAUAUAUCUUUUUACCGCCUGUCUUUCAGUUGGAAUUUGAUUUCAACUCAAAGUUCCACCCUUAACACCCUCUAUCAGAUUAUACUCACUAGUCACUGCCAUCUAAUAAGCAGUUCCUCCUUCCAACUAUCAGUACUACUAAGGAGUAAGGACCAAGUAUUGUACUUUACUCUUCUGUUUAUACUUACUGCCAUCCAAUAAACAUUUACCUUUUGAGUCUCCCCUUGAUAUGAUCAAUUCAGUCUUAGCAAGAACCUAACCGACAAUAACAACCAUGUUUAGAUAUAUGUCAAAAGAAUAAAUGGAUAAAUUAUCAAGUCCAUGGAAUUAAAAUUAGUACCAGCUUUGCUGCUUAAGCAUGGCCAGAAACAUGCUCUUUGACUAGGAUCAUCAUCAUCAUCAUCAUGUAGAAGUGUAGAACAACCUCUCCAAAAAAUAUGAAGAAUGACAUAUCAAAACAACAUUGAUAGAAACUAUUAAAAUUUUGAAAGGCUGAAUGCAUAAAGCACAACAAUACAAAAGAUUUGACUGUCAUCUGGUAUCCCUGCCCG